GAUGAAGAACGUAGCAAAAUGCGUUACUUGGUGUGAAUUGCAGAAUCCCGUGAACCAUCGAGUUUUUGAACGCAAGUUGCGCCCGAAGCCUUUUGGCCGAGGGCACGUCUGCCUGGGCGUCACGCAUCGCGUCGCCCCCCACAAUUCUCCGUAAAGGGAACGUGUGUUUUGGGGGCGGAUAUUGGUCUCCCGUGCUCAUGGCGUGGUUGGCCGAAAUAGGAGUCCUUUCGAUGGACGCACGAGCUAGUGGUGGUCGUAAAAACCCUCGUCUUUUGUUUCGUGCUGUUGCUCGCAAGGUAAACUCUUUAAAAACCCCAAUGUGUCGUCUCUUGACGACGCUUCGACCGCGACCCCAGGUCAGGCGGGACUACCCGCUGAGUUUAAGCAUAUCAAUAAGCGGAGGA
rnacentral:misc_RNA from 1 species